AAUACGACUCUCGGCAACGGAUAUCUCGGCUCUCGCAUCGAUGAAGGACGUAGCGAAAUGCGAUACUUGGUGUGAAUUGCAGAAUCCCGUGAACCAUCGAGUCUUUGAACGCAAGUUGCGCCCGAGGCCUUUAGGUCGAGGGCACGUCUGCCUGGGCGUCACAAUCA
rnacentral:rRNA from 1 species